AGAACGAACGCUGGCGGCAUGCCUAACACAUGCAAGUCGAACGAGACCUUCGGGUCUAGUGGCGCACGGGUGCGUAACGCGUGGGAACCUGCCCUUAGGUUCGGAAUAACUCAGAGAAAUUUGAGCUAAUACCGGAUAAUGUCUUCGGACCAAAGAUUUAUCGCCUUUGGAUGGGCCCGCGUAGGAUUAGCUAGUUGGCGGGUAAAGCCUACCAAGGCGACGAUCCUUAGCUGGUCUGAGAGGAUGAUCAGCCACACUGGGACUGAGACACGGCCCAGACUCCUACGGGAGGCAGCAGUGGGGAAUAGUUGGACAAUGGGCGAAAGCCUGAUCCAGCAAUGACCGCGUGAGUGAUGAAGGCCGUUAGGGUGUAAAGCUCUUUACCGGAUGAUAAUG
rnacentral:rRNA from 1 species